UCGGGAAUUUUGGGCAAUGGGCGAAAGCCUGACCCAGCAACGCCGCGUGAGGGAUGAAGUAUUUCAGUAUGUAAACCUCGAAAGAAUGGGAAGAAUAAAUGACGGUACCAUUUAUAAGCUCCGGCUAACUACGUGCCAGCAGCCGCGGUAAUACGUAGGGAGCAAGCGUUGUUCGGAUUUACUGGGCGUAAAGGGCGCGUAGGCGGCGCGGUAAGUCACUUGUGAAAUCUCUGAGCUUAACUCAGAACGGCCAAGUGAUACUGCUGUGCUAGAGUGCGGAAGAGGCAACCGGAAUUCUUGGUGUAGCGGUGAAAUGCGUAGAUAUCAAGAGGAACACCUGAGGCGAAGGCGGGUUGCUGGGCCGACACUGACGCUGAUGCGCGAAAGCCAGGGGAGCAAACG
rnacentral:rRNA from 1 species